GCCAGGGUGGCUUAGUCGGUCAAGCAUCUAACUUCGGCUCAGGUUAUGAUCUCACUAUUUGUGGGUUCGAGCCCCGCAUCCGGCU
rnacentral:tRNA from 1 species